rnacentral:rRNA from 1 species
UGUAAGCGUAUACCAAAGUUGUUGCAGUUAAAACGCUCGUAGUCGGAAUUUGGCAGUUCCGGAUGUGUGCACGUCGUGUGCGCACUUCGCGGGGAUUGCUUUUGUGGUCUUGCGUAGGAUGAGGCACUUUUAUUAGUGAACGUCCUCACGCAACCACUUUUUACUGUGAGAAAAUCAGAGUGCUCAAAGCAGGCAUUUGCCGUGAAUGUAUUAGCAUGGAAUAAUAGAAUAGGACUUGGUUCUAUUUUGUUAGUUUGUUGGGACUGAGUAAUGAUUAAGAGGGACAGUUGGGGGCAUUUGUAUUUCGGUGCUAGAGGUGAAAUUCUUAGAUUACCGAAAGACAAACUGCUGCGAAAGCGUCUGCCAAGGAUGUUUUCAUUGA